UACAGGGGGUGCGAGCGUUAAUCGGAAUUACUGGGCGUAAAGCGCACGUAGGCGGCUUGGUAUGUCGGGUGUGAAAUCCCCGGGCUCAACCUGGGAACUGCAUCCGAAACUGCCUUGCUAGAGUAUGGGAGAGGGAAGUGGAAUUUCCGGUGUAGCGGUGAAAUGCGUAGAUAUCGGAAGGAACAUCAGUGGCGAAGGCGACUUCCUGGACCAAUACUGACGCUCAGGUGCGAAAGCGUGGGGAGCAAACAGG
rnacentral:rRNA from 1 species